rnacentral:lncRNA from 1 species
AGGCCUACAAAUACGAAAACAAUUUUAAAAUUAAAUUAAAAAAAAAAUCCCAAAUUUGUUAAUCAUCCUUGCACCCUUCAAAGUCCACCGUUUCACUUCAAUUCAUAAGAACCCUAGAAUUCGAAUCUCAAAUUCCCCAUCCAAUCGAUGCCUGCAUUGUUUCAGUCCGAUGGCGAUCUUCCCGUACUGCUAAAUUUCAGGUCAGCCCCCUUAUUUGAUCUCAU